rnacentral:sRNA from 1 species
UAAAGAGCUCCUAGUCGACCUUCGGUCGU